rnacentral:lncRNA from 12 species
GGGGUACCCAGGUGGGUUUUUGGGGAUCCCAGGUGAGCUGUGAUUUGGGGUUGGGGGUUUCUGGGGUACCCAGGAAGGCGGAGGGGGACACGGUGCCGUUGCUGCGGGACACCACGACGCUGAUGCCGGUUGGGAUCUGGGGGUUUUGGAGGAUGCCAGUCAGGAUUUGGGGGAUCCCAGGUGGGUUUUGGGGGUCCCAGGUGAGCUGUGAUUUGGGGUUGGGGGUUUUUGGGGUACCCAGGAAGGCGGAGGGGGACACGGUGCCGUUGCUGCGGAUUUUUGGGGUGUUUCUGGGGUAUUUCGGGGUGUUCUGAGGUAUUUCGGGGUGGUUUUGGGGUAUUUCAGGGUGUUUUUGGGGUAUCUUGGGGUACAGAGUGGAAUUUUUGGGGUGUUUCUGGGGUAUUUUGGAGUGUUCUGAGGUAUUUCGGGGUGGUUUUGGGGUAUUUCAGGGUGUUUUGGGGGUAUCUUGGGGUACAGAGUGGUAUUUUUGGGGUGUUUCUGGGGUAUUUCGGGGUGUUCUGAGGUAUUUCGGGGUGGUUUUGGGGUAUUUCAGGGUGUUUUUGGGGUAUCUUGGGGUACAGAGUGGUAUUUUUGGGGUGUUUCUGGGGUAUUUCGGGGUGUUCUGAGGUAUUUCGGGGUGGUUUUGGGGUAUUUCAGGGUGUUUUUGCCCCCCCCCCCCCCCCCCCCCCCCCCCCCCCCCCCCCCCCCCCCCCCCCCCCCCCCCCCCCC